CUAAAAGUUAAUCUGCUUUUUACUGUCACCAUGCACCAGGAUCAGCAAUUCUAAACAAUGUCAGUGACAAAAUCUUCUUCCUCCUAAAACACCUUCUGUUGGUCUGCAUUCAAUGAGUUUUAAGAACACGAUUCAGCACAGGGAUCACCUCCUCCAGGAAGCCCUCCCUCAGGGCUCUGAGCACACAGCAGUGAACUCUGGGGUUCAGCUCCUUCCCUCUCGAGACUGCAGAUCCUUUGAGAGGGGACGUCUGUCAACAAACUCUAGGGAUCCCUCGCUGUUCCAGGCACUGUGCUAGGCUCUGAGGAUGGAGCAGUGAACAAGACCCACCCACAUCUUACGGUCCUGACAGGCUCGGUGGAGAGGCAAAGGGGCUGCUCACGCCUCCAGUGAAGACGGGCACGCUGCAUCUCUGAGCGCCAGGCUCCUCCUCUCCUUCUGUGGCCCUGAGCAGCAGCUGCAAUUAAGGAGAUCCUGGGCACUGACUUCUGGGAAAGGGAGGAUGUUCUCCCAGACAGAUCAGGAUGCUGGAAUUGUCUGCCUCUUCUUUGCUCCUGCCCCUCCUUGUUUUCCAUUGCACAGGACACACCUGCCGCCUGGACCGUUUAGGUACAUGGUGUGUUUACUACCGUUCCUGAGAUCAGGCGAGUUUCGGAUUUGUUUUUAAGAUGCUACAAGAGAGCUUAAAGGUCACCUUGUCCAACUGACCUGGCCUGCUCGAGCUUCAAGCUUCUCUCUGAUUGCCGCCCAGCUUCAGAGGAUACCUUAGGUGGCAAGAAGCACUAUCUCUCAGCAUGGUCCAAUUAUUCACUGGCCACUUCGGAAUGUUUAUUGAUUCAUUCAAUCAAAUGGUAUGUAUUGAAUGCUACAUUCUGAGCACUUACUAGUCACUAGGAAAUAAAUCAGUGAACAAAACAGACGA
rnacentral:lncRNA from 1 species